AUCAAUCUCUCUUCCCGGUCUCCCCACUCUCCCUUCUUUUCCAGAAAACGCAAAAACAAAGGAUGAACAUUUUAUGAACUUCAUCCUCUUCCUCUCUCCCAUCCGCGACAAUACAUAGAAAGAAACAAGAACAAACACAAAUCCCUACCCUUGUAUUAACCCGAAAAUAAUGUACCCUAACCUAAAUCAAAGAAUCCUAAUCGUACAAAUAUGAACACUAACAACAACAUGCAAUAACGAAGAUCAAAGCUAAGUGUUCAUGAUCUUACCUCUUCCAGAAAUUCUUUACGAUUUUCCUCUCCGAUCUCGAUUUGAUUCUGCUUCCUGUUUGUUUCAGGUACGAUUACAAGGGAGGCGCGGCAAGCUUUCGAUCUUUCCCUCUCCGUCUCAUUUUCCGUCCCUUUCUUGUAGGUUUAGGUUUUAAUCUUAUAGGGUUAGGAAUUAGAUAAAUUAGGAAAUAGAUUUUAAGGCUUUUGAUUCGUGUUAUAACUUUUUUCAGAUUUGUAAUUUCAGAUUUGAUUUAGUUUUGAUUGUAUAUUAACUAUGAAUUGAAGAUUGAUUUUGUUUGUAA